GACGAACGCUGGCGGCGUGCCUAAUACAUGCAAGUCGAGCGGACGAAUUUUGGUGCUUGCACCAAAUUUUCGUUAGCGGCGGACGGGUGAGUAACACGUGGGUAACCUGCCCUACAGUCUGGGAUAACUUCGGGAAACCGAGGCUAAUACCGGAUAAUACUUUUUAACACAUGUUAAAAAGUUGAAAGAUGGUUUUGCUAUCACUGUAGGAUGGACCUGCGGCGCAUUAGCUAGUUGGUGAGGUAACGGCUCACCAAGGCAACGAUGCGUAGCCGACCGGAGAGGGUGAUCGGCCACACUGGGACUGAGACACGGCCCAGACUCCUACGGGAGGCAGCAGUAGGGAAUCUUCCACAAUGGGCGAAAGCCUGAUGGAGCAACGCCGCGUGAGUGAAGAAGGAUUUCGGUUCGUAAAACUCUGUUGCAAGGGAAGAACAAGUAGCGUAGUAACUGGCGCUACCUUGACGGUACCUUGUUAGAAAGCCACGGCUAACUACGUGCCAGCCGCCGCCGUAACAC
rnacentral:rRNA from 1 species